rnacentral:rRNA from 1 species
AGAAUCAACGCUGGCGGCGUGCCUAACACAUGCAAGUCGAACGAGAAAGUGGAGCAAUCCAUGAGUAAAGUGGCGCACGGGUGAGUAACACGUGACUAACCUACCCUGGAGUGGGGGAUAAACUGAGGGAAACCUUAGCUAAUACCGCAUAAUACCUACGGGUCAAAGGAGCAAUUCGCUUCAGGAGGGGGUCGCGGCCGAUUAGUUAGUUGGCGGGGUAAUGGCCCACCAAGACAGUGAUCGGUA